rnacentral:rRNA from 1 species
AACGAACGCUGGCGGCAUGCCUAACACAUGCAAGUCGAACGAGACCUUCGGGUCUAGUGGCGCACGGGUGCGUAACGCGUGGGAACCUGCCCUUAGGUUCGGAAUAAUUCCCCGAAAGGGGUGCUAAUACCGGAUAAUGUCUUCGGACCAAAGAUUUAUCGCCUUUGGAUGGGCCCGCGUUGUAUUAGCUUGUUGGUAGGGUAAAAGCCUACCAAGGCUACGAUCCAUAGCUGGUCUGAGAGGAUGAUCAGCCACACUGGGACUGAGACACGGCCCAGACUCCUACGGGAGGCAGCAGUGGGGAAUAUUGGAAAAUGGGCGAAAGCAUGAUGCAGCAAGGCCGCGUGAGUGAUGAAGGCCUUAGGGUUGUAAAGCUCUUUUACCCGGGAUGAUAAUGACAGUACCGGGAGAAUAAGCACCGGCUAACUCCGUG